CCUACGGGAGGCAGCAGUAAGGAAUAUUGGACAAUGGGCGCAAGCCUGAUCCAGCCAUGCCGCGUGAAGGAUUAAGGUCCUCUGGAUUGUAAACUUCUUUUAUAGGGGACGAAAAAAGGGCAUUCUUGUUCACUUGACGGUACCCUAUGAAUAAGCACCGGCUAACUCCGUGCCAGCAGCCGCGGUAAUACGGAGGGUGCAAGCGUUAUCCGGAUUCACUGGGUUUAAAGGGUGCGUAGGCGGGCAGGUAAGUCAGUGGUGAAAUCCUAGAGCUUAACUCUAGAACUGCCAUUGAUACUAUCUGUCUUGAAUAUUGUGGAGGUAAGCGGAAUAUGUCAUGUAGCGGUGAAAUGCUUAGAUAUGACAUAGAACACCUAUUGCGAAGGCAGCUUACUACGCAUAUAUUGACGCUGAGGCACGAAAGCGUGGGGAUCAAACAGGAUUAGAUACCCUGGUAGUCCACGACCUAACGAUAGAUACUCGACAUACGCGAUACACUGUGUGUGUGUGAGNGAAGACGAUUAAGUAA
rnacentral:rRNA from 1 species